rnacentral:tRNA from 1 species
GAGUGAGAAGCAAAUAUUGCAAUCAGUUUCGACCUGAUCUUAGAUAAAAAAUUUAUCCACACUUU